AUUGAACGCUGGCGGCAGGCCUAACACAUGCAAGUCGAGCGGAUGGAGGGAGCUUGCUCCUGGAUUCAGCGGCGGACGGGUGAGUAAUGCCUAGGAAUCUGCCUGGUAGUGGGGGAUAACGUCCGGAAACGGGCGCUAAUACCGCAUACGUCCUGAGGGAGAAAGUGGGGGAUCUUCGGACCUCACGCUAUCAGAUGAGCCUAGGUCGGAUUAGCUAGUUGGUGGGGUAAAGGCCUACCAAGGCGACGAUCCGUAACUGGUCUGAGAGGAUGAUCAGUCACACUGGAACUGAGACACGGUCCAGACUCCUACGGGAGGCAGCAGUGGGGAAUAUUGGACAAUGGGCGAAAGCCUGGUCCAGCCAUGCCGCGUGUGUGAAGAAGGUCUUCGGAUUGUAAAGCACUUUAAGUUGGGAGGAAGGGCAGUAAGUUAAUACCUUGCUGUUUUGACGUUACCAACAGAAUAAGCACCGGCUAACUUCGUG
rnacentral:rRNA from 1 species